AAUAAAUCAAAACUUUCAACAACGGAUCUCUUGGCUCUCGCAUCGAUGAAGAACGCAGCGAAAUGCGAUAAGUAAUGUGAAUUGCAGAAUUCAGUGAAUCAUCGAAUCUUUGAACGCACCUUGCGCCCUCUGGUAUUCCGGAGGGCAUGCCUGUUUGAGUGUCAUGUAGACUCAAUCCCUCGGGUUUCCGAGGAGAUUGGACUUGGGUGUUGCCGCUCUGCCGGCUCGCCUUAAAAGACUUAGCGGGAUAGCACCGUAGUCGGCGUAAUAAGUUUCGUCGGUGAAGGUUGUGAUGACUGCUUACAAUCGCCCUCGGGCAAUUUUUGACUCUGACCUCAAAUCAGGUAGGACUACCCGCUGAACUUAAGCAUAUCAAUAAGCGGAGGAAA
rnacentral:rRNA from 1 species